GAUGAACGCUGGCGGCGUGCCUAAUACAUGCAAGUCGAGCGAACAGACGAGGAGCUUGCUCCUCUGACGUUAGCGGCGGACGGGUGAGUAACACGUGGAUAACCUACCUAUAAGACUGGGAUAACUUCGGGAAACCGGAGCUAAUACCGGAUAAUAUAUUGAACCGCAUGGUUCAAUAGUGAAAGACGGUUUUGCUGUCACUUAUAGAUUGAUCCGCGCCGCAUUAGCUAGUUGGUAAGGUAACGGCUUACCAAGGCAACGAUGCGUAGCCGACCUGAGAGGGUGAUCGGCCACACUGGAACUGAGACACGGUCCAGACUCCUACGGGAGGCAGCAGUAGGGAAUAUUCCGCAAUGGGCGAAAGCCUGACGGAGCAACGCCGCGUGAGUGAUGAAGGUCUUCGGAUCGUAAAACUCUGUUAUUAGGGAAGAACAAAUGUGUAAGUAACUAUGCACGUCUUGACGGUACCUAAUCAGAAAGCCACGGCUAACUACGUG
rnacentral:rRNA from 1 species